rnacentral:rRNA from 1 species
AUUGAACGCUGGCGGCAGGCCUAACACAUGCAAGUCGAGCGGCAGCGGGAAAGUAGCUUGCUACUUUUGCCGGCGAGCGGCGGACGGGUGAGUAAUGCCUGGGGAUCUGCCCAGUCGAGGGGGAUAACUACUGGAAACGGUAGCUAAUACCGCAUACGCCAUACGGGGGAAAGCAGGGGACCUUCGGGCCUUGCGCGAUUGGAUGAACCCAGGUGGGAUUAGCUAGUUGGUGAGGUAAUGGCUCACCAAGGCGACGAUCCCUAGCUGGUCUGAGAGGAUGAUCAGCCACACUGGAACUGAGACACGGUCCAGACUCCUACGGGAGGCAGCAGUGGGGAAUAUUGCACAAUGGGGGAAACCCUGAUGCAGCCAUGCCGCGUGUGUGAAGAAGGCCUUCGGGUUGUAAAGCACUUUCAGCGAGGAGGAAAGGUUGGUAGCUAAUAACUGCCAGCUGUGACGUUACUCGCAGAAGAAGCACCGGCUAACUCCGUGCCAGCAGCCGCCGUAAAAC